GGAUGUGAGGGCAAUCUAGCUGCAGCAUCUGUCACCCCAUUGAUCACCAGGGUUGAUUUGGCUGAUCUGGCUGGCUAGGCAAGUGUCCCUUUCCUCUCACUGCUCCAUGUGUGUCCCUCCAGAAACUGCAUGCCUUGUUGAAAAGGAUGACCAUCCCCAAUAGAGGAGGACCAAGGUCAAGGAUAUACGAGUAGCUGUACUCCCUUGCCAGAACCUCCAAAUAAGCUCUCAAGAACUCUCAUAACUCAAUAGCAAAGGAAAAUAACCAGUUUACAAAGUGGCCAAAGGUUUAAAAUAGACACUUAAGUAUGCUUAUUUCU
rnacentral:snRNA from 1 species